AGUAACGGCGAGUGAACAGGGAAAAGCUCAAAGUUGGAACCUCCUGGCCCUAGGUCUGGCGGAUUGUAAACUAAAGCUCUCGAGUAGUUCGGCUAGCCUGGUAAAAAAGUUCUCUGGAAAGGGACGACAUAGAGGGUGAAAUCCCCGUCUUUGGCCAGAGCAUAGUCCAACGUUUGCUUGGAAGUGAAGAGUCAGGUUGUUUGGUAUUGCAGCCUAAAGCUGGAGGUAAAUCUCUCCUAAAGCUAAAUAUUGACGAAAGACCGAUAGCGAACAAGUACCGUGAGGGAAAGAUGAAAAGCACUUUGAAAAGAGGGUCAAAAAGUACGUGAAAUUGCUGAAAGGGAACCGUAUGAAAUCAGCUUGUCUCUUUGGUAAUCAACCUGGACCUCGGUCUGGGUGCACUUGCCAGUGAGUACAGCCUGCGACAAUUCGGCGCGAAGGAAAAAAUCRGGGGGAAUGUGGCCUCAGCUUCGGUUGUGGUGUUAUAGCCCUUUGAAAAAUACUUUGCUCUGGAUUGAGGACUGCAGCGAGCCAUUUGGGAUAGACUGUGGGCGCUUUGUUUGGACUGGGAGGAAAUUUCUAUCUCUGGUAGUGUUCUUUCAGUUCGAGCAAACUCGCCUACUUUUCUUUUUUCUCGCUUAGGUCGUAGGCAUAAUGAUUUUAUAUGACCCGUCUUGAAACACGGACCAAGGAGUCCACCAUCAUUGCGAGUCUUUGGGUGUAGAAACCCAUGGGCGGAAGGAAACUGACCAAGAUAUGAAACCUUCACCGGUGGCAAUAUCCUCCAGCAAGGACGUUUUAUACUGAACUGACUGAGAGAAAGCAAUGAUGAUGGGACCCGAAAGAUGGUGAACUAUACUUGAAUAGGGUGAAGCCAGAGGAAACUCU
rnacentral:rRNA from 1 species